rnacentral:rRNA from 1 species
GAUGAACGCUGGCGGCGUGCCUAAUACAUGCAAGUCGAGCGAACAGACGAGGAGCUUGCUCCUCUGACGUUAGCGGCGGACGGGUGAGUAACACGUGGAUAACCUACUUAUAAGACUGGGAUAACUUCGGGAAACCGGAGCUAAUACCGGAUAAUAUAUUGAACCGCAUGGUUCAAUAGUGAAAGACGGUUUUGCUGUCACUUAUAGAUGGAUCCGCGCCGCAUUAGCUAGUUGGUAAGGUAACGGCUUACCAAGGCAACGAUGCGUAGCCGACCUGAGAGGGUGAUCGGCCACACUGGAACUGAGACACGGUCCAGACUCCUACGGGAGGCAGCAGUAGGGAAUCUUCCGCGAUGGGCGAAAGCCUGACGGAGCAACGCCGCGUGAGUGAUGAAGGUCUUCGGAUCGUAAAACUCUGUUAUUAGGGAAGAACAAAUGUGUAAGUAACUAUGCACGUCUUGACGGUACCUAAUCAGAAAGCCACGGCUAACUACG